AAAAUCGGACCGGUCAUCAAACUGCUUUAGUUACUGGUUCACUGGUUUACUGGUCCAAUCAGUCUAAUCGGUGAUUCAACCGAAAAAACCGUUUUAAAAUAGAAUAAUAAAUAAAUUAUAAAUAUGCAAGUAUUAAGUUGAGGGUAUAAGGUAGUAUGAAGCUUUUCUAAUAGAUACAAUUCCUCAUUAGUACACAAAAUGUUAAAAGAAAUAUCUGACAAGAAUAGGAAGAAUAUCAAAUGAAUUAUCAUAAAUCCAACUAAAAAAUAAACAUAGUACUCGGAUAAAUAAAUUUGAUAACGUUAUUAAUAACAAAGUUGGUAGUGGACUAGUGCUAGAAAGGCUUUACCAAAUGAAGGUGCAUGCAGGCUUUUAGAGACAAUAGACUUGGAUUUGUGCAGUAGCAUUUUGGAUGAGUUGUUUUGAAGACCAUUUGGUAAAACUAAGCUUUGAAUAGGUA